GAUUUCCUGCUUCCUGUGACACUUUGGCUCAAGAUCUGGAAGCCAUGAAGAUCUUUAAUGUGCUGGGAGGGCUCCUCCUGCUUCUUGUGUCUGCUCAUGGUGACGAAGAAGACUUGUUUGUAGCCUGUAGUGAAUUCUGGCUCCAGGUCAAAAUUAGGAGGGCACCUUUUGUGGAUGAACUGCAACCACAACCUUAUGAGCUGUAUCUUGGAACUGGCUGUCCCGUAAGCAGAAUAUUGCCUAGUUACUUCGAGUUCAUCUAUACGCUUACUUCUUGUGGCAUCAGGAAAUAUGUAAGAACAAUUAUUUAAAUAAGUAACUUGUUCUAUUUUAAAGUAAAAAUCUACUUACUAACAUUGCACUAUACUUGUCAGUUGACUUUACACCUCAUGUAAUACUGAGUAUGCUCUGCCUUAAGUUUUUGGAUAGUUUCCCAGUAGAAGAAAUCUCUCAUUUGCAAAUAAUGGCUUAUUUGCUAUCAGCAGUUCCUGGUCAAAUUCACCAACCACUUGUAUCUCAAAUUUUGUUGGAAGAUAAGCACAUUCAUUUAGGUAUGAUGUGACAGUUCUUAUGAUGUAGUGGCAGAAUUAAGUAUUUUCAAGACAGGUCUACAAAGACUUAAAAUAUUUUGUAGCCAGAUUUAGAAGUUUAAUGAACCUUGAUUUAUAUUAUUUCCAUAUUAAAAUUGGAAGGUGGAACCUGCUCUGAAAUAAUAGAGUACUUAAUACCCAGAGUAAGCUGCAGAGUUUAUCAAACAGGUCUGGCAAAAUCAGACCUUAAAUCUUACACAAAUGUAAUGGCUAAAAGUUGUCUGUGCAGACCCAGCUGCCAAUCAGAUACAAUGUCCCGAGCACUACGUCAGGGGCUAUUGUGGUACUUGGAUCUUUUCUAAACAUGGACAUCUUGUCAGCUCUGCUGUCCUCAUCCUCCUCUCCCUUCCUCCCUCUCUUUUAAAAAAGACUUGUUUAUUUGAUAGGCAGAAUUACACACAGGGAGAGGGAGGAGUGGAUGUGGGUAAUAGAACAGCCUUGAGCUUUGGGGGAACUUUAACUUUUUAUAACUGAAAAGAGAAACACUACACUUUGAGUUGGGCCAGAGAUGGGAGACUGGAACUCCAUCCAGGUCUUCCAUGUGGGUGGCAGGGGCCCAAGCACUUGGGUCAUCCUCUUCUGCCUUCCCAGGCACUUCAGCAGGAAGCUGGAGUGAAAACCGAACAGCUGGGUCUCAAACCAGCACUUACAUGGGAUGCCUGCAUCACAGGCUGCAGCUUAACUUGCCAAGGAACAACACUGAUCCCUCAACAGAAAAUGA
rnacentral:lncRNA from 1 species